rnacentral:rRNA from 1 species
UACGAAGGGUGCAAGCGUUACUCGGAAUUACUGGGCGUAAAGCGUGCGUAGGUGGUUCGUUAAGUCUGAUGUGAAAGCCCUGGGCUCAACCUGGGAAUGGCAUUGGAAACUGGCGACCUAGAGUGCGGUAGAGGGUAGUGGAAUUCCCGGUGUAGCAGUGAAAUGCGUAGAUAUCGGGAGGAACACCCGUGGCGAAGGCGGGUCUCUGGGACGGUACUGACGCUGAGACGCGAAAGCGUGGGGAGCGAACAGG